rnacentral:rRNA from 1 species
AUUGAACGCUGGCGGCAGGCCUAACACAUGCAAGUCGAGCGGAGCGGCGGACGGGUGAGUAAUGCCUGGGAAUCUGCCUGGUAGUGGGGGAUAACGUCCGGAAACGGGCGCUAAUACCGCAUACUAUCAGAUGAGCCUAGGGCGUAUUAGCUAGUUGGUGGGGCAAAGGCCUACCAAGGCGACGAUCCGUAACUGGUCUGAGAGGAUGAUCAGUCACACUGGAACUUAGACACGGUCCAGACUCCUACGGGAGGCAGCAGUAGGGAAUAUUUGGCAAUGGGCGAAAGCCUGAUCCAGCCAUGCCGCGUGAGUGAAGAAGGUCUUCGGAUUGUAAAACUCUUUAAGUUGGGAGGCGUUACCUACAGAAUAAGCACCGGCUAACUUCGUGCCAGCAGCCGCGGUAAUUC